GACGAACGCUGGCGGCGUGCUUAACACAUGCAAGUCGAACGGUGAACCUCUUCGGAGGGGAUCAGUGGCGCACGGGUGAGUCACACGUGGGCAACCUGCCCCCGGCUCUGGGAUAACUCCAAGAAAUUGGGGCUAAUACCGGAUGUUCACCGCUUCCCGCAUGGGUGGUGGUGGAAAGGGUUUCCGGCUGGGGAUGGGCCCGCGGCCUAUCAGCUUGUUGGUGGGGUAGUGGCCUACCAAGGCGACGACGGGUAGCCGGCCUGAGAGGGUGACCGGCCACACUGGGACUGAGACACGGCCCAGACUCCUACGGGAGGCAGCAGUGGGGAAUAUUGCGCAAUGGGCGGAAGCCUGACGCAGCGACGCCGCGUGGGGGAUGACGGCCUUCGGGUUGUAAACCUCUUUCAGCAGGGACGAAGCGCAAGUGACGGUACCUGCAGAAGAAGCACCGGCCAACUACGUG
rnacentral:rRNA from 1 species